GGGGUUGUGGCUCAAUUGGUAGAGCGUUUGCCGUGCAUAUAUGAGGCACUGGGUUCAAUCCUCAGCACCACCU
rnacentral:tRNA from 1 species